GAAAUGCGAUACGUAGUGUGAAUUGCAGAAUUCAGUGAAUCAUCGAGACCUUGAACGCACAUUGCGCUUGCAGUCACCUGCAAGCAUGCCUGUUUGAGUGUCGUCCAUCCACCCUCGCCAAGAGGAUCAGGCUCUGAUCCGGAGGCGGUGCUGAGCGUUCGCAUCGGAUGCGAUCGCUUGAAAGCGAGAGGGGUCGCAGGGCGCCGGAUCCAGAUCCGACGGCUCCUGCAGCCCGCGGGUGUCUCUGGCAUGCGCCGUCAUGAUCUGCACCCGCAGCUGCAGCCGCGGAGCCCCGGAAGGGGUCCGCGCCCUCUGCCCCGGCUUACCGCCCCUCCCCCGCGGAGGCGCGGGAACCUUCGAAACUGCGACCUCAAAUCAGGCAAGGCUACCCGCCGAAUUU
rnacentral:misc_RNA from 1 species